GCCAGACUCCUACGGGAGGCAGCAGUGGGGAAUAUUGCACAAUGGGGGAAACCCUGAUGCAGCGACGCCGCGUGAGUGAAGAAGUAUUUCGGUAUGUAAAGCUCUAUCAGCAGGGAAGAAAAUGACGGUACCUGAUUAAGAAGCCCCGGCUAACUACGUGCCAGCAGCCGCGGUAAUACGUAGGGGGCAAGCGUUAUCCGGAUUUACUGGGUGUAAAGGGAGCGUAGACGGCAAUACAAGUCGGAAGUGAAAUACCCGGGCUCAACCUGGGAACUGCUUUGGAAACUGUAUGGCUGGAGUGCAGGAGAGGUAAGCGGAAUUCCUAGUGUAGCGGUGAAAUGCGUAGAUAUUAGGAGGAACACCAGUGGCGAAGGCGGCUUACUGGACUGUAACUGACGUUGAGGCUCGAAAGCGUGGGGAGCAAACAGGAUUAGAUACCCCCGUACGA
rnacentral:rRNA from 1 species